UUAAGUUCAGCGGGUAAUCCUACCUGAUUUGAGGUCAGAUUGUCAAAAGUUGUCUGUGAAGACGAUUAGAAGCUAAGCCUCAGUAUGUCACCUCUCAAUGGCGUAGAUAAUUAUCACACCAAUGAUUAGCGGCAAAAGCUCUGCUAAUACAUUUAAGGAUAGCCGACUUGUGAAAGCCCGCAAAUCCCAAGAUCCAAGCU
rnacentral:misc_RNA from 1 species